AUCACUCCCAGUGCCACCAUGGUGAAGGAUAUAAACUGAAACAUCUGAAUCUUAUUUCUUAAAUGAAGAAUAUUAAUUUAAGGAUCAAUAAUUAUUUUGUAUAAUGGGUAUGGCAUAAGAAAUAAAAAGUCCUGGAUCUUUUCCAUGAGGUGGUUGGCUCUCAGGUUAAGUAACAAUGUAAUUGUAAAAAAAUCUUAUGAGUUCUUCAUAAGUACAUCUUAAAGCUGUCAAGAUGGUUCUAGCAGACCUUGGAAGAAAAAUAACAUCAGCAUUACGCUCGUUGAGCAAUGCCACCAUUAUCAAUGAAGAGGUAUUGAAUGCUAUGCUAAAAGAAGUCUGUACCGCUUUGUUGGAAGCAGAUGUUAAUAUUAAACUAGUGAAGCAACUAAGAGAAAAUGUUAAGUCUGCUAUUGAUCUUGAAGAGAUGGCAUCUGGUCUUAACAAAAGAAAAAUGAUUCAGCAUGCUGUAUUUAAAGAACUUGUGAAGAUUCUACAUUGCAGCUAACCUUUACAAACUACCAUGAUUAUAAAGAAGCCCUGAGACCAAGAAGU
rnacentral:sRNA from 1 species